AUUGAACGCUGGCGGCAUGCUUUACACAUGCAAGUCGAACGGUAACAGGCCGCAAGGUGCUGACGUGUGGCGAACGGGAGCGUAAUGCAUCGGAACGUGCCCAGUCGUGGGGGAUAACUACUCGAAAGAGUAGCUAAUACCGCAUACGAUCUAUGGAUGAAAGUGGGGGACCGUAAGGCCUCGCGCGAUUGGAGCGGCCGAUGUCAGAUUAGGUAGUUGGUGGGGUAAAGGCUCACCAAGCCAACGAUCUGUAGCUGGUCUGAGAGGACGACCAGCCACACUGGGACUGGGACACGGCCCAGACUCCUACGGGAGGCAGCAGUGGGGAAUGUUGGACAAUGGGCGCAAGCCUGAUCCAGCAAUGCCGCGUGCAGGAAGAAGGCCUUCGGGUUGUAAGCUGCUUUUGUACGGAACGAAACGGCUCUGGUUAAUACCCGGGGCUAAUGACGGUACCGUAAGAAUAAGCACCGGCUAACUACGUG
rnacentral:rRNA from 1 species